CCAUCCACAUCCAACAGCCACCCCUUCAGAAUAUCAAUUAAUUAGCUAGCUGUAUGUAUUUUAAUUAUAUCAAAAGAUACAAUUCCGAUGAACUCCAAUCCAGAAAGAUCUCCAGCGUGGUUUUCAAUGUACGUGUCUCCGUCCACCUGUGUUUCUUUGUUUUGGACCACAAAUUGGUAAAAAAGUACUAGGACCAGCCUGCUGGCUCUUGCUUUCAGGGAAGGGUAAAAGCUAAAAGGAGACACAAAGGUCCAACUAUCUCACCUAAGAUAUUAUAUGCAUGAUCAUAAUUCAUACAUGUUCCGAUGGACAAAUUUAUUUACUAUUAAUUAAAUAGAAAAAUCAACAUAUAUCACCAAAAAAAAAGGUCGAAAAAUACUGCACGCAGUCACAUUUUCUAUUAUAAUAUUAUUAUAUUAUAAUUUUUUAACAUGUAGUUUGUAUUAAAUUUAGGAAUAAUAAUUAAAAAUUCUUACCAGACAAAACAGGCUGAACACCG
rnacentral:misc_RNA from 1 species